AACACCCCAAAAAGAAUAAUCCAGUCAAGACAUGGACAGAAGACAUGAACAGAUACUUCUCCAAAGAAGACAUACAAAUGACAAACACAUGAAAAAUGUUCAUCAUCAUUAGCCAUCAGAAAUUCAAAUCAAAACCACAUUGAGAUACAACUUUGCAUCAGUUAAAAUGCCAAAAACUGACAAGGCAA